AAAAAAAAAAGAAAAAAAAAAAAAGAAAAUUGGUGGUAGAUAGAUCUGGUUUGUUUAAAUGUGUUUUAUUUUAAAAUUUCUUCUUUCCUUUAGGAAGCAGAGGUCUACUCUUUUGAGCAAGAUAAUUCUGAAGGUGAAUUUAACAUCUGAUGCAGCUGUAACACUUACGUAGGGAAAUACUUUUCUACUCUCAUUUUCAGGCUUACUUUAUUACCACAGCCUCUCGGGUUUUGCCAGCAAAAUGUCUUUUUGUGACCUCAAUUAUAUGCUGUCGAUUUGUUUAAGCCACGCUAUUUCCACCUCAUUACUGAUUCAACUUGUUGGCAUUGGAUAGACCCUCACAUUCAUUGUUAUAUGAAUAGACACUUAAAACCAUUUUGAUGUAGUAAAAGAAAGUAACUAAAUUUAGGUUACUAAAGAAAACUCCUGCUGAAAUCUUUGACCCUGAGCUCCAAAGAGCAUAGUAUAAAUGCUGGGUAAACUAUUUUUGUCCUCUGCUUUAUAAAUGAGUUCCUUUCUUUCUUCCAUUGAGUACUGUUCAGCACAGCUGCUAUUUUUAGAGCCGAAAAAAAAAAAGAGGGGAACUGAAAAUAAAGAAAUAAAACCUUGUCUGAAACACCUAAGUGUGUGAAUCAUGGCCUGCCUCCUGCAUAGACUGUGUGUAGCUGCUAAGUAAUUUAUGAAUGAGGGAGUGUGGACCAGGGAUGGCAUCAACAAAAAGAACUAAGACUGAUGGAUUCUAUUUCUAGUUCCAAACUGAUGAUGAAACGACUUCAGAUAAGUCACUUUAACUUCUUUGGGACCUCUACCUGUAAAAUAGGAAGAAACUCCUUUUUUUCUUGACAAUGAUAUAAAGACCUGCUUAGCUUCUUACCUUUGCAGACUUCUCAUUUAAGGCUUGAUUCUCUGAAGCUCCUCCUUUGAUAUUCAACCCUGUACAACAGCAAUGGGAUCCAUGCUUUUCCUUGGGACAAAGGAACUCAGGACAAUAAUUCAAAUGAUUCAGCCUUAGUGCUGGUUCAUUUGGAGUAUUAGCCCUGGUUGGGUUCUGGCUUUGUUCUGUGUGAUCUAGCCCUUUCCUGUGACCUCAUUCUGGUAACUGGAUCCCCAGAUUGUUUUAUUACAUCUGAGCCUCUCCAUUGGUUUUCAAUCUGCUAUGCCACUUCCUCUGAGACUAAGGUUCUGCAGCUGAUCCUUUUUGUCCCUGCUGUCAUAUUUCAGCCAGAGUAUCCAGUCUAGUUCCUUGAGAAAGGGGAGGCAAAUCCAAAAAGGACGUUAGCUGAGACUCUGAAGACCAUCCCUGUUUUGGGAAAGCUCAAGAUGAGUGGCAGCAGGACCCUGGUUCCCAUUAAGGAGGCCUGAGUUUCCAGCUGCUGUGCUCUCAUUUCCUUGUAGCAAGGCAAUGGACAUUUGAAUAAGAACCCUGCACAGCACUCCUGUUCUGGGGCCCAGGACAUUGACUACAAAGUUGGGAUUCUCCUGGGGUGAUGAUCUGCCAGCAUUUCCAGGGAGACAGAUGCCUGCUUGCCUAGUGGCCUUGAACCUCAAGGAGGCUUCCCAGGGAGAAUUUUGGAUGAAGACCUAUAUAAAGAGGGCAGUCUUCCAAAUAAACAGAUGUGGAUGUUGAGAAAUAAUGGCUGUGGGUGAAGUCCUAUCCUCCAGUGCCUGUGAGAAGAGACAUCAAGCUCUGGCAACUUCCUUGCUCAAUAAACCUCAUUUACAAAUCUGGACACAGUGAGUCAAACCUCAUCUUCUGGGAACUUCUAUUGCUGCUUCUAUGGUACCAUUCUCUCUUUGGCUCUCAGCUUGGGUAUUCUCUAUGGGGAUGCAUA